rnacentral:misc_RNA from 1 species
AAAUGCGAUAAGUAAUGUGAAUUGCAGAAUUCAGUGAAUCAUCGAAUCUUUGAACGCACCUUGCGCUCCUUGGUAUUCCUUGGAGCAUGCCUGUUUGAGUAUCAUGAAAUCUUCAAAGUAAAUCUUUUGUUAACUCAAUUGGUUUCUACUUUGGUAUUGGAGGUCUUUGCAGCUUCACACCUGCUCCUCUUUGUUCAUUAGCUGGAUCUCAGUGUUAUGCUUGGUUCCACUCGGCGUGAUAAGUUAUCUAUCGCUGAGGACACUGUAAAAGGUGGCCAAGGUAAAUGCAGAUGAACCGCUUCUAAUAGUCCAUUGACUUGGACAAUACUUUUAUGAUCUGAUCUCAAAUCCGGUAGGACUACCCGCUGAACUUAAGC